rnacentral:tRNA from 1 species
GUGAAGGUGGUGUAGUGGUUUGAGCGUUGGACUAGGACUUUGGAGACCAGGGUUCAAAUCCCCGCUCAGCCA